rnacentral:tRNA from 1 species
UCAAAAACAGUUCACGAGAAUACUAACUUUGGAAGUUAGAGGAUGACGAAAGUCAUUUUUGAA